rnacentral:rRNA from 2 species
UACAGAGGUGGCAAGCGUUGUUCGGAAUUACUGGGCGUAAAGGGCGCGUAGGCGGCCCGAUAAGUCCCGCGUGAAAGCCCCCGGCUCAACUGGGGAACUGCGCGGGAAACUAUCGGGCUUGAGUUCGGGAGAGGGAAGCGGAAUUCCGGGUGUAGCGGUGAAAUGCGUAGAUAUCCGGAGGAACACCGGUGGCGAAGGCGGCUUCCUGGACCGACACUGACGCUGAGGCGCGAAAGCUAGGGGAGCAAACGGG